AACGAACGCUGGCGGCAGGCCUAACACAUGCAAGUCGAACGCUGUAGCAAUACAGAGUGGCAGACGGGUGAGUAACGCGUGGGAACCUUCCCAGUGGUACGGAAUAGCUCAGGGAAACUUGAGGUAAUACCGUAUAAGCCCCUUGGGGGAAAGAUUUAUCGCCAUUGGAUGGGCCCGCGUCGGAUUAGCUAGUUGGUGAGGUAAUGGCUCACCAAGGCGACGAUCCGUAGAGGGUUUGAGAGAAUGACCAGCCAAACGGGGACUGAGACACGGCCCAGACUGCUACGGGAGGCAGCAGUGGGGAAUAUUGGACAAGGGGCGCAAGCCUGAUCCAGCCAUGCCGCGGGAGGGACGAAGGACGUAGGGUUGUAAAGCUCGUUUAGCAGGGACGAUAAUGACGGUACCUACAGAAGAAGCCCCGGCUAACUUCGUGCCAGCAGCCGCAGUAAAAC
rnacentral:rRNA from 1 species